GGCGCAGAUUUGCCGUAGCUAAUGGUCCUCCUUUAACGACUGCAAUUACUGCCGUCGCGAACUCAUAAAUAAAAUGCGACGGCUUUGCAUUCCCGUCGUUUCUGUUCUUAUCAAUUGCGACUGCAUAUACAUGCCGUCGCAUGUACUUUUGUCAAUUGCGACAGAGCUAACAAGUCGUCGCUUGUUUUAGGCAAUAAGAUUCGAGUAUGAGGGGAAAAAAAGUAAAAGCCAGAUCCAGAUCUGGUUUCCUCUCUCGUUCUCCUCCUCUCGUCACAGAGCAAACACGCAGAGAAACUCAUUCCAUUGUCAUUCCGUCUUCCUCUCAGGUGCGUGAUUCCGGGGUGGGCUAAGGUUGGACUUUGGACUGAAAGUGAGUAAGAGAGAAAGGUCAUUCUCUUUCUCAUCGGAUUGGUUUCAGGCAGACGAAUAAUACGAUUAAGGAAAAGAUUAGAACACCAAAUUGUCUGGCAAUGGUAAGGUAAGCUUAAUCGGUGGUCUAAGGUAAUGGUUGAGUUUUUUUAGUCUGGAUUUUGAGUGAUAAAAGGAUGAAUCAGUUUGGGUUUGUCUUCGACGAUAUCCAAUUUGUCCUUUUUAUGGGUUUGGUUUUGAUUUUGUUUUCUGUCUCCGUUGGUUUUGAACUAAUUGGGGUUUUGUUUUUUUUUUUUUUUUUUUUUGUGUUGGAGUGCGAGAUGUUUCAGUAGUUGAUGAGAUUCGUCUGAGGUGAUUUGCUUGCUAAAUUCAUUGAACUAAGUUGUGGAGGAGGAACUGUCAGCUAGCUGGUAUAUUGGACAAAUCCUCCAUCAAGUUGGUAGACACAAAAUAGUUGGAAAUCAUGAAAGAAAAGUAUACUUGGAAAUCUCUCAAAUUGUCUUUGAAGAGCAUGGAUUCCUCUUGUUGAUUGUGAUUGUCUUUGGCCAUCCGAUAUAAUUAUCUGGUGAGAAUAUACCUGUGCUGCAUAUAUAUGUGACAUUCAGAGAUGCUUAUGCUCUUGAAACUGCUGUUUUGUCAGUAAAACAGUUUUUGGUGGGCAACCUAGCAAACCGGAUAACAGAGAUAUACCUUGUGCAGUUUUUAGUGUUAGCAACUGAAACAAUUAGGGAACAUCAUUUGAUUACUGUUGGGCAGCUGAUGGUGCGGUGAUCAUUUGCUUCACUUCUGGGAAAAGAUAUCCUGGAAAUCAACCAUCCCGAAAGUUCUUUCGGCAUAAAGACCAGAGUGAUAUGAAAUUUUAGUAAAUUUAGAUUUAUGUAUAAAAUUUAAGAAAAUCAAACAGAAACUGGCAGCAUCGCAUGGGCAAGUUGCCUAGUUUUAGCUUAGGUUUAAAUAUUAGUGCAUUUUUGUAUCUGUAUAAUUA